rnacentral:rRNA from 1 species
UUGGAGGGCAAGUCUGGUGCCAGCAGCCGCGGUAAUUCCAGCUCCAAUAGCGUAUAUUAAAGUUGUUGCAGUUAAAAAGCUCGUAGUUGAAUUUCGGGGUUCUACCGUUGGUCGGGCUUUGUCUGUACUGGUGUGUAGAAUUUCUACCUUCUGGGGAACCAUCAUGCUAUUAAUUUAGCGUGGUGGGAAACCAGGACCUUUACCUUGAAAAAAUUAGUGUGUUCAAAGCAGGCUUAUGUCUGAAUACAUUAGCGUGGAAUAAUAGAAUAGGACGGUGGUCCUGUUUUGUUGGUUUCUGAGUCACCGUAAUGAUUAAUAGGGAUAGUUGGGGGCAUUAGUAUUCAAUUGUCAGAGGUGAAAUUCUUGGAUUUAUUGAAGACUAACUUCUGCGAAAGCAUUUGCCAAGGAUGUUUUCAUUAAUCAAGAACGAAAGUUAGGGGAUCGAAGACGAUCAGAUACCGUCGUAGUCUUAACCAUAAACUAUGCCGACUAGGGAUCGGACGAUGAUAAUUUUUCUUGACUCGUUCGGCGCCUUACGGGAAAC